rnacentral:sRNA from 1 species
GUAACAUGGUUUCCGUAGGUGAACCUGCGGAAGGAUCAUUAAUGAAGCAGCCUAAAACUCUACUUCAUACACCUCCAGUGAACUGUCCGGCCUAGCCGUAUAUACCAACUCUAAUGUUGUCAAUGAAUGUCUAUGUUAUACAUAACAAAUAUAACUUUUAGCAACGGAUCUCUUGGCUCUCGCAUCGAUGAAGAACGCAGCGAAAUGCGAUAAGUAAUGUGAAUUGCAGAAUUCAGUGAAUCAUCGAAUCUUUGAACGCACCUUGCGCCCCUGCCCUUCUGGGCCCGGCAUGCCAACUUGAGCGCCUUAAAAUACUUGCACUUGUAGCUUUCGCUACCUGGGCAGAUUUGAGCGUCUUGCCGACUUUCGGCUCGCUCUGAAUGCAUCAGCGACUUGAAAGCUUGAAGCAACGUGAUAAGUAUCUUCGUUGUGACUCGCAUUAAAGACGCUUCUAAUCGUCUUCGGACAAUACCAAAGGCUAGGCAUCAGAUUGGUAGGACUACCCGCUGAACUUAAGCAUAUCAAUAGCGGGAGGAA